AGAGUUUGAUCAUGGCUCAGGAUGAACGCUGGCGGCGUGCUUAACACAUGCAAGUCGAACGGAGUUUAGAUGAAAGCUUGCUUUGACUAACUAGUGGCGGACGGGUGAGUAACGCGUGGGUAACCUGCCUUAGUACAGGGGGAUAACAGUCGGAAACGACUGCUAAUACCGCAUAAGCGCACGGAAUCGCAUGAUUCAGUGUGAAAAGAUUUAUCGGUAUAAGAUGGACCCGCGUCUGAUUAGCUAGUUGGUGAGGUAACGGCCCACCAAGGCGACGAUCAGUAGCCGGCCUGAGAGGGUGAACGGCCACAUUGGGACUGAGACACGGCCCAAACUCCUACGGGAGGCAGCAGUGGGGAAUAUUGCACAAUGGGGGAAACCCUGAUGCAGCGACGCCGCGUGAGUGAAGAAGUAUUUCGGUAUGUAAAGCUCUAUCAGCAGGGAAGAAAAUGACGGUACCUGACUAAGAAGCCCCGGCUAACUACGUGCCAGCCGCAGC
rnacentral:rRNA from 1 species